ensembl:snRNA U6 U6 spliceosomal RNA
GUAUUCAAUUCAGCAGCACAUAUACUAAAAUUGAAAUGAUAUAGAGAAGACUGUCUUGGCCCCUGCACAAGGCUACCAUGAAAAUUCAUGAAGUGUUACAUAUUUUU